UCUUCUGAUGAGAUUUCUGUGCAGUUUCAAGCGCUGUUAUCACCAGCCAUAAAGUUUGAUAGAAAUACAGAUUCUGUGUACAUACAAUUUUUCAAGAAUGAUUUAGGUUUAGAAAAGCUUAAAAUGGGCUUGGUUUGCGAACAUCAAUGUCAAGGGGUUGAUAAUUGCACAGAGUUUACUUUUCAAAGACUACUUCGGAAACGGGACAUUCUAAAUGAGGAAGUCUUCUAUCAGUAUUUUGUGGAAAGACACAGCAUUUCAAAAAAAUCGGGAAAGAAGCCAAAAGAUAUAACUGAACUUGUAUAUGGGCAGUCUUCAAUGUAUGAUAAACGGCCCUUGAUUGUUCCAAAACGAUAUCUUGAACCUGGUUGCUGUCUUCCAAUCACUUGCCACUCACAGAUGUGGGAUAUAAGCCCAGCUUUGGGUGUAUAAUUCUUCAUGUGAGGAAGCAAUCCAGCUGGAUUACAGACGGUCGGUUUUAUCCAGGUGCCCGCCCGUGC